UACAGAGGGUGCGAGCGUUAAUCGGAGUUACUGGGCGUAAAGGGCGCGUAGGCGGUUAUAUAAGUGAGAUGUGAAAAUCCCUGGGCUUAACCUAGGAACUGCAUCUCAUACUGUAUGACUGGAGUAUUGUAGAGGGUAGUGGAAUUUCCGGUGUAGCGGUGAAAUGCGUAGAGAUCGGAAGGAACACCAGUGGCGAAGGCGGCUACCUGGACAAAUACUGACGCUGAGGCGCGAGAGCGUGGGGAGCAAACAGG
rnacentral:rRNA from 1 species